rnacentral:rRNA from 1 species
UACGUAGGGAGCAAGCGUUGUCCGGAAUCAUUGGGCGUAAAGCGCACGUAGGCGGCUUAGUAAGUUGGAUGUGAAAUCCCUCGGCUUAACCAAGGAAGUGCAUCCAAAACUACUGAGCUUGAGUACUAAAGAGGAUCGCGGAAUUCCCGGUGUAGAGGUGAAAUUCGUAGAUAUCGGGAGGAACACCAGUGGCGAAGGCGGCGAUCUGGGUAGAUACUGACGCUGAGGUGCGAAAGCGUGGGGAGCAAACAGG